rnacentral:lncRNA from 1 species
AAGUAUCAGACUAGGGGCCAAGCCUCGUUAAAACCUUACUAAAGAAAAUCUGCAUGGGGAAAAACCUUAGUAAGGGAAAAGAGUACUCGUCUAAUAAACAGAGAAAGCGAACAAGAGAGCGGAUGUGGGAAAACUUCAGAGGUUCGGCCUAACUAUCAUCCCUAAGUAAACCCUGCUAAAAAAAACGCACAAGGGAGAAACACCACCAAAAAACAGACGUUAAAGAAUAAAAAAACCAACAGAGACCAACCGGAGAGGGCCAAGGCCUAUCGCCAGAACCUUGAAAAAACCCAGCCUCCGACGUCCCCAACCCACCACCGGCAACCAACCUACGGCCGACAGCUACACCAUGCGCAC